rnacentral:rRNA from 1 species
ACGCUAGCUACAGGCUUAACACAUGCAAGUCGAGGGGCAUCAGGAAGAAAGCUUGCUUUCUUUGCUGGCGACCGGCGCACGGGUGAGUAACACGUAUCCAACCUGCCCUUUACUCGGGGAUAGCCUUUCGAAAGAAAGAUUAAUACCCGAUAGCAUAAUGAUUCCGCAUGGUUUCAUUAUUAAAGGAUUCCGGUAAAGGAUGGGGAUGCGUUCCAUUAGGUUGUUGGUGAGGUAACGGCCCACCAAGCCUUCGAUGGAUAGGGGUUCUGAGAGGAAGGUCCCCCACAUUGGAACUGAGACACGGUCCAAACUCCUACGGGAGGCAGCAGUGAGGAAUAUUGGUCAAUGGGCGCUAGCCUGAACCAGCCAAGUAGCGUGAAGGAUGAAGGCUCUAUGGGUCGUAAACUUCUUUUAUAUAAGAAUAAAGUGCAGUAUGUAUACUGUUUUGUAUGUAUUAUAUGAAUAAGGAUCGGCUAACUCCGUGCCAGCAGCCGCGGUAAUACGGAGGAUCCGAGCGUUAUCCGGAUUUAUUGGGUUUAAAGGGAGCGUAGGUGGACUGGUAAGUCAGUUGUGAAAGUUUGCGGCUCAACCGUAAAAUUGCAGUUGAUACUGUCAGUCUUGAGUACAGUAGAGGUGGGCGGAAUUCGUGGUGUAGCGGUGAAAUGCUUAGAUAUCACGAAGAACUCCGAUUGCGAAGGCAGCUCACUGGACUGCAACUGACACUGAUGCUCGAAAGUGUGGGUAUCAAACAGGAUUAGAUACCCUGGUAGUCCACACAGUAAACGAUGAAUACUCGCUGUUUGCGAUAUACAGUAAGCGGCCAAGCGAAAGCAUUAAGUAUUCCACCUGGGGAGUACGCCGGCAACGGUGAAACUCAAAGGAAUUGACGGGGGCCCGCACAAGCGGAGGAACAUGUGGUUUAAUUCGAUGAUACGCGAGGAACCUUACCCGGGCUUAAAUUGCAGUGGAAUGAUGUGGAAACAUGUCAGUGAGCAAUCACCGCUGUGAAGGUGCUGCAUGGUUGUCGUCAGCUCGUGCCGUGAGGUGUCGGCUUAAGUGCCAUAACGAGCGCAACCCUUAUCUUUAGUUACUAACAGGUUAUGCUGAGGACUCUAGAGAGACUGCCGUCGUAAGAUGUGAGGAAGGUGGGGAUGACGUCAAAUCAGCACGGCCCUUACGUCCGGGGCUACACACGUGUUACAAUGGGGGGUACAGAAGGCAGCUAGCGGGUGACCGUAUGCUAAUCCCAAAAUCCUCUCUCAGUUCGGAUCGAAGUCUGCAACCCGACUUCGUGAAGCUGGAUUCGCUAGUAAUCGCGCAUCAGCCACGGCGCGGUGAAUACGUUCCCGGGCCUUGUACACACCGCCCGUCAAGCCAUGGGAGCCGGGGGUACCUGAAGUACGUAACCGCAAGGAUCGUCCUAGGGUAAAACUGGUGACUGGGGC